GUAUUACUGGGAGUUCCCUUCAAGCACUUUACGAACUACUUUUUUAAGGUAUUAUGUGAAGUGUUUGGGGAACUCUUGGUGCAACUAAGCACUUAAAAGAUAUUGCAAGUCAUAAACCACACGAGAUGUACUGCAAAUCCCGUUUGGUAUCACUGGGAAUUCCUUUCAAACACUUUACGGAUCACCUUUCUCAGGGCUCAUGUGAAGUGUUUGGGGGAACUCUCGGUGUAAC
rnacentral:pre_miRNA from 1 species